rnacentral:rRNA from 1 species
AGAGUUUGAUCAUGGCUCAGAACGUACGCUGGCGGCACGCCUAACACAUGCAAGUCGAACGAAGUAGCAAUACUUAGUGGCAGACGGGUGAGUAACAUGUAGGUAUCUGCCCUUUGGCCUGGAAUAACACGAGGAAACUUGUGCUAAUACCGGAUAAGUCUUUACGGAGAAAGCUUUAUGCACCAUUGGAUGAGCCUGCACUUGAUUAGUUUGUUGGUGGGGUAAUGGCCUACCAAGACUGUGAUCAAUAGCUGAUUUGAGAGGAUGAUCAGCCACAUUGGGACUGAGACACGGCCCAAACUCCUACGGGAGGCAGCAGUGGGGAAUCUUGCACAAUGGAGGAAACUCUGAUGCAGCGAUGCCGCGUGAGUGAAGAAGGCCCUUGGGUUGUAAAGCUCUUUCGUCGGGGAAGAAAAUGACUGUACCCGAAUAAGAAGGUCCGGCUAACUUCGUGCCAGCAGCCGCGGUAAUACGAAGGGACCUAGCGUAGUUCGGAAUUACUGGGCUUAAAGAGUUCGUAGGUGGUUGAAAAAGUUAGUGGUGAAAUCCCAGAGCUUAACUCUGGAACUGCCAUUAAAACUUUUCAGCUAGAGUAUGAUAGAGGAAAGCAGAAUUUCUAGUGUAGAGGUGAAAUUCGUAGAUAUUAGAAAGAAUACCAAUUGCGAAGGCAGCUUUCUGGAUCAUUACUGACACUGAGGAACGAAAGCAUGGGUAGCGAAGAGGAUUAGAUACCCUCGUAGUCCAUGCCGUAAACGAUGUGUGUUAGACGUUGGAAAUUUAUUUUCAGUGUCGCAGGGAAACCGAUAAACACACCGCCUGGGGAGUACGACCGCAAGGUUAAAACUCAAAUGAAUUGACGGGGACCCGCACAAGUAGUGGAGCAUGUGGUUUAAUUCGAAGAUACGCGCAGAACCUUACCAACACUUGACAUGUUCGUCGCGACUCUAAGAGAUUAGAGUUUUCGGUUCGGCCGGACGAAACACAGGUGCUGCAUGGCUGUCGUCAGCUCGUGUCGUGAGAUGUUGGGUUAAGUCCCGCAACGAGCGCAACCCUCACUUUUAGUUGCCAUCAUUAAGUUGGGCACUCUGAAAGAACUGCCAGUGAUAAGCUGGAGGAAGGUGGGGAUGACGUCAAGUCCUCAUGGCCCUUACGUGUUGGGCUACACACGUGCUACAAUGGUAUCUACAACAGGAAGCAAGACUGCGAAGUUAAGCCAAUCCCUAAAAGAUACCUCAGUUCGGAUUGCACUCUGCAACUCGAGUGCAUGAAGCUGGAAUUACUAGUAAUCGUGGAUCAGCGUGCCACGGUGAAUGCGUUCCCGGGUCUUGUACACACCGCCCGUCACACCAUGGGAGUUGGUUCUACCUUAAGGCAAGGUUUUAAACCCUUGACCACGGUAUAGUCAGCGACUGGGGUGAAGUCGUAACAAGGUA